rnacentral:rRNA from 1 species
CCCUUAGAUGUUCUGGGCCGCACGCGUGCUACACUGAACGGUUCAAUGGGUAAGGUAGUGCGAAAGCAUGACCUAAUCUCGAAAUCCGUUCGUGCUGGGGAUAGAAGCUUGCAAUUAUCCUUCUUGAACGAGGAAUACCUUGUAAGCGUGAGUCAUCAUCUCACGCUGAAUACGUCCCUGCCCUUUGUACACACCGCCCGUCGCUCCUACCGAUUGAGUGUUCCGGUGAGGCUUUGGGAGAAUGGCCUCAACAUGAGUUUAUCGUGUUUUGCCGUUUGAACUUAGUCAAACCUUAUCACUUAGAGGAAGGAGAAGUCGUAGCA